rnacentral:rRNA from 1 species
AAUAGAUACCCUGGUAGUCCACCGCCGUAAACGAUGUCGACUUGGAGGUUGUGCCCUUGAGGCGUGGCUUCCGGGGCUAACGCGUUAAGUCGACCGCCUGGGGGAGUACGGCCGCAAGGUUAAAAACUCAAAUGAAUUGACGGGGGGCCCGCACAAGCGGUGGAGCAUGUGGUUUUAAUUCGAUGCAACGCGAAGAACCUUACCUACUCUUGACAUCCAGAGAACUUAGCAGAGAUGCUUUGGUGCCUUCGGGAACUCUGAGACAGGUGCUGCAUGGCUGUCGUCAGCUCGUGUUGUGAAAUGUUGGGUUAAGUCCCGCAACGAGCGCAACCCUUAUCCUUUGUUGCCAGCGGUUCGGCCGGGAACUCAAAGGAGACUGCCAGUGAUAAACUGGAGGAAGGUGGGGAUGACGUCAAGUCAUCAUGGCCCUUACGAGUAGGGGCUACACACGUGCUACAAUGGCAUAUACAAAAGAGAAGCGACCUCGGCGAGAGCAAGCGGACCUCAUAAAGUAUGUCGUAGUCCGGAUUGGAGU